GAUGAACGCUAGCGACAGGCUUAACACAUGCAAGUCGAGGGGCAGCGAGGGCGUAGCAAUACGCCUGUCGGCGACCGGCGCACUGGUGAGUAACACGUAUGCGACCUGCCCCCUACAGGGGUAUAACCCGUAGAAAUGCGGACUAAUCCCCCAUAGUCCUGGAGGCUGCAUGGCCUUCAGGGGAAAGGUCAGCCGGUAGGGGAUGGACUUAUGGCGCAUUAGCUGGUUGGCGGGGUAACGGCCCACCAAGGCGACGAUGCGUAGCCGACCUGAGAGGGUGACCGGCCACACUGGGACUGAGACACGGCCCAG
rnacentral:rRNA from 1 species